GACGUAGGUUGCGAGCGUUAUCCGGAAUCAUUGGGCAUAAAGAGUUCGUAGGUGGUUUGUUAAGUUGGAUGUCAAAACUUUGAGCUCAACUCAAAGCAGGUAUCCAAAACUGGCAGACUGGAGACAGGUAGAGGUAGGUAGAAUUCUGUAUGUAGGGGUAAUAUCCGUAGAUAUACAGAGGAAUACCAAAAGCGAAGGCAGCCUACUGGACCUGUUCUGACACUCAAGAACGAAAGCGUGGGGAGCAAACGGGAUUAGAUACCCCUGUAGU
rnacentral:rRNA from 1 species